rnacentral:rRNA from 1 species
GUCCUUUUGUUGAUAAUUUAAGGUCUAGCCUGCCCACUGAAAUUUUAAAUGGCCGUGGUAUUUUGACCGUGCUAAGGUAGCAUAAUCAUUAGUUUUUUAAUUAAAAACUGGAAUGAAAGGUUGGAUAAGAAAAUAGCUGUCUCUGUUAAAUUUAAUUAGAAUUUUAUUUUUAAGUUAAAAAGCUUAAUUAUUAUUAAAAGACGAGAAGACCCUAUAGAGUUUAAUUAUUUAAUAAAAAUUAUAUUUUAGUAUUUAUUUAUUUAUUUUAUUAAAUAAUUUAAUUGGGGUGAUUGAAAAAUAUAAUUAACUUUUUUUAUUUAGAAACAUUAAUUUAUGAAUGAAUGAUCCAAUAUUUUUGAUUAUAAGAUAAAAUUACCUUAGGGAUAACAGCGUAAUUUUUUUAGAAAGUUCAUAUUAAAAAAAAAGAUUGCGACCUCGAUGUUGGAUUAAAAUAAAUUUUUGGUGUAGAAGCUAAAAUAUUAGGUCUGUUCGACCUUUAAAAUUUUACAUGAUCU